rnacentral:rRNA from 1 species
UACGUAGGGUGCGAGCGUUAAUCGGAAUUACUGGGCGUAAAGGGUGCGUAGGCGGUCGGGUAAGUCUGAUGUGAAAUCUCACAGCUUAACUGUGAAACUGCAUUGGAUACUAUCCGGCUAGAGGAAUGGAGGGGAGACUGGAAUACUUGGUGUAGCAGUGAAAUGCGUAGAUAUCAAGUGGAACACCAGUGGCGAAGGCGAGUCUCUGGACAUUUCCUGACGCUGAGGCACGAAAGCCAGGGGAGCAAACGGG